AACAAACAAUUCAUUUUAUAGAUCCUGAAAAUAAAAAAAAAUCAACUUUCCAUUCAAAAAAAAAAAAAAAAGAUCAAUUCGUUGGUUAAUUCAUCAUAACCGGUAUCCAGAAAUUUUUUCCUUUGUUCAAUAUUCAAGAUUCCGGAAACAAACAAACAAAAAAAUGCCGACAAAUGAAAAGAAUUAUCAAUGAUGAUGAUGAUGAUGAUGGUG